rnacentral:lncRNA from 1 species
GAGUUCCUUCAAGGCCUUGUUUGGCCUUUUCUAUUUGAGAAAAAUUUGUUUAUCUUCUAUCUCUUUUCGUUUUUUUCGUUUUUUUUUAUGAGAUAGAGUUUGGGUAUAAGAUGCAUUUUGGCGCUAGCUGCCAAAUGUUGUGAGUGAGCGUACACAUUUUUUCUUUUUCACUUUUCUUUCCUUUUUUAAAAUUAUUUUUAUUCCUUGAAUUUUUAUUGGAUGAGGGAGAUGGAUAUGGAUAGUGAUUCAAGUGAAAUGUAUGUAUUGAUUGGUAACCCUUGAUCAUUUUGAUCCAAUGGCCAAUGAGAAAGCACAAAAUAGUAAGCAAAUUAGGAUUUUCACAAUUAAAAUGCAAAUGGCAAAAAAACCUUGGAUAUUUUUUGAUCAAAAAUGAAUUUAAAUGAAUCAAAUCAAUUUUUUUAAUAAAAAUAAAUAAAAAUCAAAUGAUUAUUUAUUUGUUCUUAUUUAUUUGUUCUUAUUUAUUUUUUCUUGAUACUUUGAUAAAU